rnacentral:tRNA from 3 species
GUCGGGGUAGCUCAGUUGGUAGAGCACGGGACUCAUAAGCCCGGGGUCGUGGGAUCAUUCCCCACCCCCGACACUA